GUCACUUUCAGUCUACUCCUUUCCAUGUGUACUGCAUUUUUAAAUUAACAUUUUUAAAACAAGUAUUUCUAUACCACUACUUUAUACACGAUAACAUGGCAGUGUACAGUUUGUACAGUUAUAUAUUCAAGAAAAUAUAAAUCAACAUAAAACAAUACCAAUUAAAUUAACAUUUCUGGAUUUAUUGUCCUUUGUUCUCACAUUAGCAUCUUAAGUAUCUUAAACCUAAUUUUGUAUUCCUUGAGUAUAGCAGGCUAAAAAGUUAAUUUUGUCCUCUGCAUAAGUCUUUAGAGGUUCCUCUUUGAGGCUUCAGUGAAUUUAUCGGGGGGUACAAGUGAGAACAUGGAAUUAUUGACGGAUCAUGAAUGCUUUUUUCUAGCUGUCAUCAGGGAAAAUACAAAAGGUCAAAAUAGGUCACAUACACUAGUUUAUCAAGUGGUGGUGGAAUUACAAUGGCAUCAAAAAGGUUUCUACCCAUAAUUCAUAUUAUCUCUCUGUACUUCUUACACUAUAGGGUCCUCAAGGUGAACCAGGACCCCCUGGGCAACAAGGAAUCACAGGUCCACAAGGGCUUCCAGGUCCACAAGGCCCAAUUGGCGUUCCUGGUGAAAAAGGACCCCCGGGCAAGCCUGGUCUUGCAGGACUUGCUGGUGCUGAUGGCCCUCCCGGUCACCCAGGCAAAGAAGGACAGUCGGGAGAGAAAGGUUCCUUGGGGCCUCCAGGUCCUCAAGGCCCAAUUGGGUAUCCCGGCCCCCGUGGCGUAAAGGGCGCUGACGGUGUCCGCGGUCUCAAAGGUGGCAAAGGCGAAAAGGUAAUCUCUUUAUGGUGCUUAGUUUUUAUCGUUUAUAUUUUAGUACUAAAAGGGCUCAACUCAUUAAUGGAAAAUCUAAUUGAAAAUCAGGCACCAUGUAUAUUGAUGGUGCGAUAUAAAUAGCUACAGUGAUGAUCAUGAAAAGUAGAAGCAGAAUAAAUCUGCAAAAGACUAGGGCAGAUCAAAGUAGCUGUGCGGGUAUUUGAUUACUUUUAAAUACUUUCAGAUUUAUUUAUUUUAAGGUAUUCGUUAAAUUGUUUUGCUGUUUCGUUGUUUGUGACCCUGGGCUCCUUUAGGAGGAAGAGCAGGAUGGAAUUAUUUCAUGAACACCCUUAUUGCAAAAUAUUGUAUGAACUCUAAACCUACAUUGGCAAAGGGGCUUCCCCCUUCCUAUCCCUUCCCUACCAGUGCCCCCUGAAAUUGGCUCUGCAGGGAUCAGGAGAAGCCCCAUAAUGGUGCAUGUGGGGAGAACAGAGUGGGAUAAUUAUGUCUGGCAAGUAGCAAUGCUUUCUCUGGUGGGACGUUCACUAUAAAGGCCUGGAUAGCUCAAUUUGUUAGAAUGUGGUUGUGAUAAUGCCAAGGUUGCAGGUUUGAUCCCCAUAUGGGGCAGCUGCAUAUUUUUGCAUUGCAGGGGGUUGGACUAGAUCAGCAUUUCCCAACCUUGGGCAUCCAGCUGUUUUUGGACUACAACUCCCAUAAUCCUCAGCUAGCAAGACCAGUGGUCAGGGAUGAUGGGAAUUGUAGUUCGAAAACAGCUGGAGGCCCAAGGUUGGGAAACACUGGACAAGAUGAUCCUCAGGGUCCAAUCCAACUCUGCAAUUCUGUGAUCAUAUGAUUCUCACAGUGCAAUGUUGAAUUCCACUCUUUGAUUUUCUUGCCAAAUGUUACACAGAAUAAUAGAAUCAUAGAGUUGGGAGGGGCCACGGGGGUCACCUAGUCCAAUCCCCUGCAAUACAGGAAUAUUGUUGCCUAACAUGGGAUUCGAACCCACAACCCUAAGAUUCAGCAUCCCAUGACUGAGCUAUAUGGUUGGUCUUCAGCUCACAAUGGAAAUGCAGACAUUUCUAACUAUAGACAGCUCCUACAAACUGGAGAGGUGAAACGCUCGUGCUGUUUUCUUAACAACAGCUUACUGCCAGUCAUUCAUCUGGGACCUUCUUACAUGACAGCAAACCAUAUGACUCCACUUUAUAAAUCACUCAGAAGAAGCAGGCAAACAUUUUUGCAGGCCAUUUUGCUACAAGCUUGUUCGGCUCAGAGAUAGUGUCUUCCUCAGUAUAAAGAUGGUCCUGACACAGACCUGCCUGCACUCACCUUUCGUGGAACGAUUCGUUACCUAGGAGCAAUUUUAUCUGACCCCCGUGGCUCGAUUUCUGUUUGAGGUGUCAUAGAAAAGCUUCCCCAUUCUUUUCAUUUCUAAGGAACAGAAGUUGUUAAGAGAGAGAUUCCGCACUUUAAAACAUAGCAUCUCUCCUUGAGGGUUGUAAGUAAUGAGUCAGCUAUGCCUCAGUGCACAUCUUAUGCAAUCGUUAUUCCCUUCUUGCUAGAUGCUGCCAAAUCUAUUACAGAGCCUCAUCCCCUUGCGUGGGGAUUGUUUUGUCAGUACAGCUACCAAAAAGCUCUGUGGAGAAUGGAGCAGCUCUCAGAAUAGAGAAGCCGAUGUUCCCCAUGUGGAUCACUGGUUCUGUUGGGCUGUAGCUAACUAAACAUUGCCCAUGUGGAACAAUUUCCAUGAGUGCCGUGGAACUUCCCCUCCCCACCCAAAUGCCUUCGCAUCUGCUCAGGUGUGCUCCUCAUCCCCUCAAAAUCUGCUCCUAAGUGUAAAAUUGACUUCCAGUUUUGUGUACGGUAUUGCUUUAAGCUCCU
rnacentral:lncRNA from 1 species